rnacentral:rRNA from 1 species
UACGUAGGGGGCAAGCGUUGUCCGGAAUUAUUGGGCGUAAAGAGCGCGUAGGCGGUCCGAUAAGUCGGCUGUGAAAGUCAGGGGCUCAACCCUUGGAAGCCGGCCGAUACUGUCGGACUAGAGUCCGGAAGAGGCGAGUGGAAUUCCCGGUGUAGCGGUGAAAUGCGCAGAUAUCGGGAGGAACACCAAUGGCGAAGGCGGGUCUCUGGGCCGAUACUGACGCUGAGGAGCGAAAGCGUGGGGAGCGAACAGG